GGGGGCGGAUUACAAGGUCAGGAGAUUGAGACCAUCCUGGCCAACAUGAUGAAACCCAGUCUCUACUAAAAAUACAAAAAUUAGCUGGGUGUGGUGGCGUGUGCCUGUAAUCCCAGCUACUCAGGAGGCUGAUGCAGGAGAAUCGCUUGAACCCGGGAGGUGGAGAGUGCAGUGAGCCGAGAUGGUGCCACUGCACUCCAGCCUGGCGACAGAGUGAGACUCUGUCUCAAAAAUAAUAAUAAUAAAAUAAAUAAAUAAAAAUAAAUUUUAAAAACCAUGAUAUGAAAGGAUACAUGGUUGCUCCCUGUCACUGCUCUUCUCCAUAAACACCUCAAGCAUUGCCUGUAUUUUUGUCUCCCUAAUCAGUGUUUCUAUUAGCUGUAUACAACUUUGUUAAUCAUCUCUCUUCCACCCUUCUCUGUCACUUGCUCCAUGUUCCCUUUCCCAUUUCUGUUAUUUUUAUUCAAUAGCUCUACCCACAGUCCUCACUGUGCUGAUGACCAACACUGCAUUAAUGGCAUUGCUAUUUAGCAGCGCAAAAGAAGGGCUCACUAGAAAAUAAAUUUAUUGUCCCCCUCCAUCUCCCCCUUCAGUGAAUCCCACCUUACUGCUUCCUGUUAGAAGGCUUUGGAAACCCUGUGGGUUAUCAAAUAGCACCAUUUCCCUUGGCGGUGUUACACUAUUGAUUGAGAUAAUGUUAUCUUCUGAAAAUGUCAUCUAUGGCAGGUGCAAUUCCUACUUGGUUAAUUCAUCUGUGGCUAGGUCUUGUAUAUUCAAUCUGGUAGCAGAAUGCUUUUUUUUUCCUUCUGGAGUUGGAGUUUUCAUUACUGAAAUAAAAAAUGGGUCAUAGAAAUAUUACUCAUGAAGAACUCAGAAAACAUUGCCCUGUUGCUUUCUUCCUGCUGAAGUUUGAUAGGCCUACUUUAUUACAUUGCAGUUGGCAGGACCAGUUUACUCAAUUGGUUUAACAUCAUUCCAAGGAGGGUGAGGGCAUCCAUUCUGGCUUUGUAGAAUGUUUGUUAGUGUAUCCUGCUGGGUGUUGGUUGGAUUUCACACAUAUUUCACCGUCAGGGAGCCAUGACAUAACCUUUUGGGUACAAAGGACAGCAUAUUCUAUUAUUUAGUUGAUAGUAUCAAAUGGCAUGCUUAUUAGAGGUACCUGGGGGAAGAAGAGCAGAAUUUUUUUUUUUUUUAAGUCUCGCUCUGUCACCCCAGACUAGAGUGCAGUGGCAUGAUCUCAGCUCAUUGCAACCUCUGCCUCCUGGGUUCAAGCGAUUCUUCUGCCUCAGCCUCCCGUGUAGCUGGGAUUACACGUAUUCGCCGCCACACCUAGCUAAUUUUUGUAUUUUUAGUAGAGAUGGUAGUUUCACCAUGUUGGCCAGGCUGGUCUCGAACUCCUGACCUCAAGUGAUCUGCCCGCCUCGACCUUCCAAAUUGCUGGGUUUACAGGCAUGAGCCACUGUGCCCAGCCAAAGAGCAGUAAAUUUAAAGGAAAAUACCAUCUAAAUAAUAACAAUUGCUUUCAUGUGACUUGUCCAUUUGGAAGACAUACAGAAAAGGGAUAGAAGCAGAAAGAAACAAUAUGGUUUAGGUUUAGGUAACAAUAUGGUUAGGUAGUGAAAUAAUAAAGAACUUUGAAACUGCUCCUUGAACAUCCUGAUUACUUUCUCUGUGGGGGAGACAUUGGUUCACAUACAAAUAGAACAGGGAGAAAAUCUGCAGCAAGGUAUCUUUGCUCAGAAAGGACAGCAGCAAUCCAAGACUGUUAUCCCAGCUAGUUCCAGACAAUAGAAUACUGCCAAUGCUACAAAAUUAAAAAUAAACAAGAUAAAAAAUAAAUCAGAUAACAGGACUCUUAGGGUUGAUGUCGCUGUUGGGAUUUUGGAGUUGACGUUUCAGUCCCCAAAGAGCUGGAGUUCUGGGAAUGAAGACAGAAUGGUAAAGAAUUAUUUUUGACUUUAAGCAUAAAAGUCAAAUAGUCUAUAGCACAUUUCGUUCUGCUAUAGAUUAUCUGCAUUCUUUCAGCACA
rnacentral:lncRNA from 10 species